rnacentral:piRNA from 3 species
UGAUUUAGCUGGUAUCUGCAGAAAGCAGC